UGCGUGAUGUUCGUUUUGCCAGAUCAUACGUCGUCGCUUGACUUCGUAUAUCGACAUCUCCGUCGCUCCCCAUCGGCUCGGAUGUUUUCGCACUGGCAUAGAUGGAACCAUUUCUCGUUGCUGGGCACCCGGUUUGGAGAUGUCGUUUUGCACAUCAACGACAAGCCGGGAAUCAGCUGUAGAAACAUCU
rnacentral:snoRNA from 1 species